CUUUCGUGGGUCUCCCGUCCUCUUUCGUUUUUCUCCAUGUCUCCCGUCCCUCCCAAAUCAAAUCUCCUCUAUAGAAGAAUAUCUCAUCCCAUUCAAAUCUCUCCCAGAAAUAUCAUCCUCUUGUAGAUCUCUUCUACUCCUUCAAUGAAAUGUCAUCCUCUCAUAUUUCCUCUAUACAUCCCGUUCAUCCAUCCCUCCCUCACUGAAGGCCAUGACUCCACCCUCCCUCCCAAACCAGAAAUGACUUGACUUCUUAAGGCAUGGAGCGUCACCAUUGAGUUGAAUCGUUGCCACUGUCACCUCCAUCCCUCGAAUUCGUGACUGUAACCUCACCAUUGAGCCACUGUCACUCCAUCCCAAAGCCUGAAACCCUAAGACCUUUGUCGCCUCACGUUUGUUGGACUCCCCGAAGCCUGAGGCCAACCCCCUCACCACUGAGCCUACCGUCGCCACUGGUUGUUACAUUAGUGCAGAUCUCCAUUUACGCCGUGGUCCGAUUCCCUCACAUAAAAACCGAGGCUGGGUAUUCUUGCAGAUUUUUUUGUUGGUAUAAUCUGGAAAUACCAUCGUAUGGUGAAAAGAGAAUCAAUCAACUAAAAACUGAACUUCAAAAGAUACAACUAAUAAUGAAUAUUAAAAUAACUCGACAUCGAUUAUAAAUAAAAACUGAGAGGCGCAAGAGAAAACUUGAGAGUGUCAGUUUAGUUAUAAUAAUUUCAAUGUUAUGGGUACACAAACUGUGGGUACUUUGUUUACGAUUUUAUUUUAGGAAAUUUUGUGAAAACAAUGUGACCAAGAUGUAAUUUGCUUAUGAUUUUGUAUGAAGUUUUUUUUUUUUUUCCUUAAUUUUCAGCCUUUUAAUUUUACUCGCAUGUCACUCUUUAUAAAGCUGGUUGGUCUUCUAGAUGAUAUAAUGCAGAUCAGACCUUUCCUGUA